rnacentral:misc_RNA from 1 species
GUUUUCCACAGAUUACAUCAACUACCAGUACCAAAUCUAAACCCAACAAUACUCCAGAAUUCACAAUUUUAACCAACUAGCACCAUUAAACCAAGUCUCCAUACAAAUUAAACGACCACAAUUCAUCAUAUCCAACACAACCAACAACUCAUAACAGAAACAGAACACAACCACAGAUACACCUACACAUAACUAAGACACCCAACUAGAUCCACCCACCAAAGUUCACUCCUUCGCAGAUUUGUUGAUCAGAGACUUAUGGAUGUGCGGAAUCACACCACCCCCAGCAAUAGUCCCCUUGAUCAGCGUAUCCAGCUCCUCAUCCCCACGGAUCGCCAGCUGCAGAUGCCUUGGCGUUAUGCGCUUCACCUUCAGAUCCUUACUCGCGUUCCCCGCCAGCUCCAGCACCUCAGCCGUCAGGUACUCCAGAAUCGCCGCCGAGUACACCGCCGCCGUCGCACCCACGCGGCCGUUGGCCGCAAUCCGCGACUUUAACUGCCUGUGGAUCCUCCCCACCGGAAACUGGAGCCCAGCGCGGGAGGAGCGGGAGGUGGGGCGCUUCUUGUCCUUGUCCUUGGCGGCGGAGGUGGUCUUGCCGGCGAUCAGUCCCUUGCCGCCCUUCCCGGCCAUUUUCUCUCUCUAGAUUCCUUUGGGGGAUUUGGGGGCGGAGGAGAGAGAGAGAGAGGGGAUAGAUUGGGG